GACAGAGGGUGCAAACGUUGUUCGGAAUUACUGGGCGUAAAGCGCGUGUAGGCUGCUCGGAAAGUCGGAUGUGAAAGCCCUGGGCUUAACCUAGGAAGUGCAUUCGAAACUUCCGAGCUGGAGUUCUGGAGAGGAAGGCGGAAUUCUCGGUGUAGAGGUGAAAUUCGUAGAUAUCAGUUGGAACACCCAUGGCGAAGGCAGCUUUCUGGCAUAUUCUUGACUCUGAGCGACGACAGCGUGGGGAGCAAACAGG
rnacentral:rRNA from 1 species